UAGACCAAUAAAACUGCUAGUCUUCCUGUAUAAGAAUAUCUUUCCAGCAUAUAUUCUGCAAUGUAUAACUUCAAUUACUGUAAGAAAUUUUGGUGACAUCAACUGCUGAUUUUCCUUAAAUGGUCUUGUAUGUUGGACUGUGUGUGUAAACAAUGGAGGCUGGUGUAUCAGGAAAUCCAUUUACAUGUCUACAGAACACACUUAAGUGGUAGCAUUCUGAGCAUUUCAAAUUCAGCAUUUCUUGUACGCUGCUCCUGCGCUUGGUCUUGCUAGACGUAUGCCCUCAACAGAAAUCUUCAUCCCCACCCAGACAUUUCUCUUUUGGAAGUAUCUCUUUCUGUUACUUCAUAUUACUCUCACUCUCCAGCCGUCCCUCUCUUUCCAUCUGUUUCUGUCACUCUCUCCACCUUUUCUGUCUCAUUCCCUC